AUCUCUGUAGCGCAAUGGAUAGAGUGCGUUGGACUUCUAAUCCAAAGUUCAAGGGUUCAAAUCCCACCUGGGAUA